AGAUGAUGAUCCCAAGCCUUCUGGCGAUCUCUUAAAAACAAACCCUCAUUCUUUAAAAACAAAGAGGGCUUUUUAAGAAAACACCCUUUAAGAAAAAGUUUUUUAUAAAAUUAAAGAAAAACUUUCCUGUAAGAGUGUAUUUUUUAUCUAAGAGUUUGCUCUUUUAUUUGAGAGUUUGCUUUUUUAAGAGUUUUCCGGGGAAGGUUUUCCGGUUUAUCCCGGAGGGCUUGUAGCUCAGUUGGUUAGAGCGCGCGCUUGAUAAGCGUGAGGUCGGAGGUUCAAGUCCUCCCAGGCCCACCAAUUUAGAAUUACCAAUUGGAAUUGCUUAACCCACUGUUGAGAAACUCCCUCCUUUAUGAGAGAAAUCUCUAAAAACAAGAGAAAGCUCUUGAGAGCCUCAAAUGAUAGAUUUCAAAUUCUCAAUAAGAUUUAAACCCAUCAGAUCUAAAUCAAUAAGGUUUAAAAGUGUUGGUAAAAUGUUCAUAAUAUAUUUUAUAAAAAUAUUGAGAGUUAUGGAGAUAUUAAGAGAUUUUUCGGACACUAUUGAUAAAUCUUGGCAAGAAAAUUGAUAAAAAUCGGGAAAUUGAUAAAAAUCGGUUUAGGGGUUAGCGCUUUCGUUUAGGGGCCGUAGCUCAGCUGGGAGAGCACCUGCUUUGCAAGCAGGGGGUCGUCGGUUCGAUCCCGUCCGGCUCCACCACUUUAGGUCAUCAUCAUUGUUGUAAGAACA
rnacentral:tRNA from 1 species